GGUUAAGCGACUAAGCGUACACGGUGGAUGCCCUGGCAGUCAGAGGCGAUGAAGGACGUGCUAAUCUGCGAAAAGCGCCGGCGAGGUGAUAUGAACCCUUGACCCGGCGAUGUCCGAAUGGGGAAACCCAGUGUGUUCCGACACACUAUCGUUAACUGAAUACAUAGGUUAACGAGGCGAACCGGGGAACUGAAACAUCUAAGUACCCCGAGGAAAGAAAUCAACCGAGAUUCCCCCAGUAGCGGCGAGCGAACGGGGAGCAGCCCGGAGUCUGAAUCAGCUUGUGUGUUAGUGGAACGGUCUGGAAAGUCCGACGGUACAGGGUGAUAGUCCCGUACACGAAAGCACACUUGCUGUGAACUCGAAGAGUAGGGCGGGACACGUGGUAUCCUGUCUGAAUAUGGGGGACCAUCCUCCAAGGCUAAAUACUCCUGACUGACCGAUAGUGAACCAGUACCGUGAGGGAAAGGCGAAAAGAACCCCGGCGAGGGGAGUGAAAAAGAACCUGAAACCGUGUACGUACAAGCAGUGGGAGCACCUUCGGGUGUGACUGCGUACCUUUGUAUAAUGGGUCAGCGACUUAUAUUCUGUAGCAAGGUUAACCGUAUAGGGGAGCCGAAGGGAAACCGAGUCUUAACUGGGCGUUAAGUUGCAGGGUAUAGACCCGAAACCCGGUGAUCUAGCCAUGGGCAGGUUGAAGGUUGGGUAACACUAACUGGAGGACCGAACCGACUAAUGUUGAAAAAUUAGCGGAUGACCUGUGGCUGGGGGUGAAAGGCCAAUCAAACCGGGAGAUAGCUGGUUCUCCCCGAAAGCUAUUUAGGUAGCGCCUCGUGAACUCAUCUUCGGGGGUAGAGCACUGUUUCGGCUAGGGGGCCAUCCCGGCUUACCAACCCGAUGCAAACUACGAAUACCGAAGAAUGUUAUCACGGGAGACACACGGCGGGUGCUAACGUCCGUCGUGAAGAGGGAAACAACCCAGACCGCCAGCUAAGGUCCCAAAGUCAUGGUUAAGUGGGAAACGAUGUGGGAAGGCACAGACAGCCAGGAUGUUGGCUUAGAAGCAGCCAUCAUUUAAAGAAAGCGUAAUAGCUCACUGGUCGAGUCGGCCUGCGCGGAAGAUGUAACGGGGCUAAACCAUGCACCGAAGCUGCGGCAGCGACACUAUGUGUUGUUGGGUAGGGGAGCGUUCUGUAAGCCGUUGAAGGUGUGCUGUGAGGCAUGCUGGAGGUAUCAGAAGUGCGAAUGCUGACAUAAGUAACGAUAAAGCGGGUGAAAAGCCCGCUCGCCGGAAGACCAAGGGUUCCUGUCCAACGUUAAUCGGGGCAGGGUGAGUCGACCCCUAAGGCGAGGCCGAAAGGCGUAGUCGAUGGGAAACAGGUUAAUAUUCCUGUACUUGGUGUUACUGCGAAGGGGGACGGAGAAGGCUAUGUCAGCCGGGCGACGGUUGUCCCGGUUUAAGCAUGUAGGCGGAGGUUCCAGGUAAAUCCGGUACCUUGUUAACGCUGAGGUGUGAUGACGAGGCACUACGGUGCUGAAGUGAUAAAUGCCCUGCUUCCAGGAAAAGCCUCUAAGCAUCAGGUAACACGAAAUCGUACCCCAAACCGACACAGGUGGUCAGGUAGAGAAUACCAAGGCGCUUGAGAGAACUCGGGUGAAGGAACUAGGCAAAAUGGUGCCGUAACUUCGGGAGAAGGCACGCUGAUAUGUAGGUGAAGCCCCUGCGGGCGGAGCUGAAAUCAGUCGAAGAUACCAGCUGGCUGCAACUGUUUAUUAAAAACACAGCACUGUGCAAACACGAAAGUGGACGUAUACGGUGUGACGCCUGCCCGGUGCCGGAAGGUUAAUUGAUGGGGUUAGCGGCAACGCGAAGCUCUUGAUCGAAGCCCCGGUAAACGGCGGCCGUAACUAUAACGGUCCUAAGGUAGCGAAAUUCCUUGUCGGGUAAGUUCCGACCUGCACGAAUGGCGUAAUGAUGGCCGUGCUGUCUCCACCCGAGACUCAGUGAAAUUGAACUCGCUGUGAAGAUGCAGUGUACCCGCGGCAAGACGGAAAGACCCCGUGAACCUUUACUAUAGCUUGACACUGAACACUGGUCCUUGAUGUGUAGGAUAGGUGGGAGGCUUUGAAGCGUGGACGCCAGUCUGCGUGGAGCUAUCUCUUGAAAUACCACCCUUUAAUGGCUGGUGUUCUAACGUAGACCCGUGAUCCGGGUUGCGGACAGUGUCUGGUGGGUAGUUUGACUGGGGCGGUCUCCUCCCAAAGAGUAACGGAGGAGCACGAAGGUUGGCUAAUCCCCGGGUCGGACAUCAGGAGGUUAGUGCAAUGGCAUAAGCCAGCUUGACUGCGAGCGUGACGGCGCGAGCAGGUGCGAAAGCAGGUCAUAGUGAUCCGGUGGUUCUGAAUGGAAGGGCCAUCGCUCAACGGAUAAAAGGUACUCCGGGGAUAACAGGCUGAUACCGCCCAAGAGUUCAUAUCGACGGCGGUGUUUGGCACCUCGAUGUCGGCUCAUCACAUCCUCGGGGCUGAAGUAGGUCCCAAGGGUAUGGCUGUUCGCCAUUUAAAGUGGUACGCGAGCUGGGUUUAGAACGUCGUGAGACAGUUCGGUCCCUAUCUGCCGUGGGCGCUGGAGAAUUGAGGGGGCUGCUCCUAGUACGAGAGGACCGGAGUGGACGCAUCACUGGUGUUCGGGUUGUCAUGCCAAUGGCACUGCCCGGUAGCUAAAUGCGGAAGAGAUAAGUGCUGAAAGCAUCUAAGCACGAAACUUGCCCCGAGAUGAGUUCUCCCUGAGACCUUGAGUCUCCUGAAGGAACGUUGAAGACGACGACGUUGAUAGGUCGGGUGUGUAAGCGCAGCGAUGCGUUGAGCUAACCGAUACUAAUGAACCGUGAGGCUUAACCUU
rnacentral:rRNA from 1 species